rnacentral:rRNA from 1 species
UGGGGGAUAGCCUUUGGAAACGAAGAUUAAUACCCCAUAGUAUGUACGAGCGGCAUCGUUUGUAUUUUAAAGUUUCGAUGGUAUAAGAUGACUAUGCGUUCUAUUAGCUAGUUGGUAAGGUAACGGCUUACCAAGGCUACGAUAGAUAGGGGUCCUGAGAGGGAGAUCCCCCACACUGGUACUGAGACACGGACCAGACUCCUACGGGAGGCAGCAGUGAGGAAUAUUGGACAAUGGAGGCAACUCUGAUCCAGCCAUGCCGCGUGUAGGAAGACUGCCCUAUGGGUUGUAAACUACUUUUAUAUGGGAAGAAUAAGGUCUACGUGUAGACUGAUGACGGUACCAUAAGAAUAAGCACCGGCUAACUCCGUGCCAGCAGCCGCGGUAAUACGGAGGGUGCAAGCGUUAUCCGGAAUCAUUGGGUUUAAAGGGUCCGUAGGCGGGCAUAUAAGUCAGUGGUGAAAGUCUGUGGCUCAACCAUAGAAUUGCCAUUGAUACUGUAUGUCUUGAAUUAUUGUGAAGUGGUUAGAAUAUGUAGUGUAGCGGUGAAAUGCUUAGAGAUUACAUAGAAUACCGAUUGCGAAGGCAGAUCACUAACAAUAUAUUGACGCUGAUGGACGAAAGCGUAGGUAGCGAACAGGAUUAGAUACCCUGGUAGUCUACGCCGUAAACGAUGGAUACUAGUUGUUUGGCCUUUUUGGCUGAGUGACUAAGCGAAAGUGAUAAGUAUCCCACCUGGGGAGUACGUUCGCAAGAAUGAAACUCAAAGGAAUUGACGGGGGCCCGCACAAGCGGUGGAGCAUGUGGUUUAAUUCGAUGAUACGCGAGGAACCUUACCAGGGCUUAAAUGUAGAUUGACAGGACUAGAGAUAGUUUUUUCUUCGGACAAUUUACAAGGUGCUGCAUGGUUGUCGUCAGCUCGUGCCGUGAGGUGUCAGGUUAAGUCCUAUAACGAGCGCAACCCCUGUGGUUAGUUGCCAGCGAGUCAUGUCGGGAACUCUAGCCAGACUGCCGGUGCAAACCGUGAGGAAGGUGGGGAUGACGUCAAAUCAUCACGGCCCUUACGUCCUGGGCCACACACGUGCUACAAUGGUAGGGACAGAGAGCAGCCACUGGGUGACCAGGAGCGAAUCUAUAAACCCUAUCUCAGUUCGGAUUGGAGUCUGCAACUCGACUCCAUGAAGCUGGAAUCGCUAGUAAUCGGAUAUCAGCCAUGAUCCGGUGAAUACGUUCCCGGGCCUUGU